ACCAUAGAGGUGGGCCUUUGGCGGCGUCAGAGGCGCGGGUGUUCGGCUACGUCACUGGGGCGCUACGGUUCCUGGAGCUGGGCAGUCUUCUCGUCAGAGUGGGGACUGGUAAGAGCGACCUCCCCGCCAGGUCCUGUGUGUUGCCGGCUGAAGAAGGGUAGGUGAAAAAUUCAGACCCAGCACAGUGUUUAUGUUGGUCAAAAAUAGAAAACUAUGUCUGGCGCGUUCGAGGCGGGAGGACCCUUCAGGCCAAGAGCAGCCUAGCAACAUGGCGCAACCCCAUCUCUGUAGUCCUACCUCAGCCCCCCAGCUACUUGAACCCAAAGGUUCAAGGCUCCAGUGAGCUAUGAUCCCACCACAGCAUUCCAGCCUGCGAGAUUGAGGUAAACCCUGUCUAAAAAAA
rnacentral:lncRNA from 1 species